CUAGUGAGAGUGAGCCAAGAACAGGCAUGUUGUGCUGCACAAUGGCGAUAUAGGAGCUGGACGCCAGCAGGGGCCCACCUUUGUAACUCUACAGGCACCUAGUCGUUUCAAAACGUCAGUACAAAAAAUUGGGGGGGGGGGGUAGUAGAAAGCAUCAGUCUACUAGUGAUAGUGAGUGGGCCAAGAACAGGCAUGUUGUGCUGCACAAUGGCGAUAUAAGAGCUAGACGCUUGGACCAAGAGAGUUGGUGGAGGUAGAGCACACUAGAUGGACAUGGUCUAGUGUGUGGUCGCAUUGCCAUUAGUUGUCUUGUCCUUUGGUACAACUGGCAGUGUCAGUGCGACAUAAUUGAGUCCAGUCAUUUAUAUGUGCCUGGUGUUUCACAAACUAAAAAAAUCAUGAUGAUAUUUAGUCAGCAAUACCAUAACUAAACUAUUAACACGCUAGAAAAUGGAGGCCUCUUAGCCUCUUAGGGCAUCAAAGAAUAUUGCAAAAUGGUUAUGGGUGAUGUAUCAGAUCAUCACAGGACCCUCGCAAAUAAAACAUCACGGCGCAAUCCUAGGCACCUCGCAAAUACAGCUCCACAUACACUUUGUGACCACAAAAUUUAUCAUGGCCAUUGGAUCAGCCUUGUAGGCCCUAUCUCUCUCCAGCGUUGUAGAAUAUUCUGUAACAUUUGCCACAUGUGUGAAUAUAAUGGUAUUUUGGUCAUGCAAAUGUUCUUCUUCUCCUCUUACUCGACUACCCAGCAUGCAUCUGCAGCCACCUGAUCUCAUCUCAAUUCAAGAGCCACAGCUGCUACAAAUGCUAUCGCCCUGCUCCACCUCCAUCCUCCCAACUAGCAGAUAGCAACACCCUCAUCCUCCUCCGUCUUCCCCUGGCCAUAGACCAGCAAUGGAGGACAACCCAUAGAACACAUCUCAUCUGCAGCUAGAUCCAUGGAUGAUAAUUGAGUUGAAAGCUUGCAUACAACGACAAAAAGUUAGCAGAUGUGUUCCCGGCGCAUACACCGGCAGGUGCAUUGGGAAUAGUGGUCUUGCCUCUCCGAUCCACCAUGGCAGAGCUGCCAUAACUGGCAUCAAUAGUUGCCCACAUCCACGCCAACCAGUUUCCAACAUCUAGGGUUCAACAACGUAGAUCCGCGGAAGAUUCAAUCCUGAAAGGGAUGACACUUCACCAAGGGAAGAUCGCUGAGGAUACAUAGUUCUACCCACUUACAUAAUUGAUGAAAUCUGAACAACUAGCAUUACAGUCAGAUUUGAGGUUCAUUUGCUACCAGGAACCAAUGUUUUAGUUGACAAGAUGACAUAUUUUUAGAUAGAUUCUAGAAACUAUAUAUGCAAUCAUGGCUGGAGAAAAAAAAAACUAUGCAACCAACUUAAAUUUAAAGGAGUUGGUUAUUAUGCACCUAUCCAAGAACCGGCAUGUGCAUGCCUCCCAUUUUUUGGACAAUGAACAUUCUAAAAAUUAAUUUAAUUUGGGUC
rnacentral:lncRNA from 1 species